AUCCUUGUGCUAGGACGGACCCCGUGGAGUGAAGUUCCGACUGACCAGGGGAAUUGCUAAUUGCAAACUGAUCCGAAAUCCCUCUCGCGAGCCUCCGUGCUCGCGGGGAAUUUUUGAACCUAUCUCGCACGAAUGCCCAACGCUCGUCGUUGAUG
rnacentral:snRNA from 1 species